GACGAACGCUGGCGGCGUGCUUAACACAUGCAAGUCGAACGGAAAGGCCCCCACUUUUUUGGUGGGGGUGCUCGAGUGGCGAACGGGUGAGUAACACGUGGGUGAUCUGCCCUGUACUUCGGGAUAAGCUUGGGAAACUGGGUCUAAUACCGGAUAGGACCAUGGUUUAGUGUCUCAUGGUGGAAAAAUUAUUGUUUUGGUGCAGGAUGAGCUCGCGGCCUAUCAGCUUGUUGGUGGGGUAAUGGCCUACCAAGGCGUCGACGGGUAGCCGGCCUGAGAGGGUGGACGGCCACAUUGGGACUGAGAUACGGCCCAGACUCCGACGGGAGGCAGCAGUGGGGAAUAUGGCACAAUGGGCGCAAGCCUGAUGCAGCGACGCCGCGUGGGGGAUGACGGCCUUCGGGUUGUAAACUCCUUUCGUUAGGGACGAAGCCGCACCUUUUUGGGGUGUGGUGACGGUACCUUUGUUAAGAAGCACCGGCUAACUACGUG
rnacentral:rRNA from 1 species